rnacentral:rRNA from 1 species
ACAUAGGUUGAUCCUGAACAUGCCUAAUCUCAUCUGAUCUUGGAAACUAAGCAGUGUCGGGCCUGGUUAGUACUUAGAUGGGAGACCACCUAGAAAUACUAGGUGCUGUAGGCA